rnacentral:rRNA from 1 species
AGUGAACGCUGGCGGUAGGCCUAACACAUGCAAGUCGAACGGCAGCACAGUAAGAGCUUGCUCUUACGGGUGGCGAGUGGCGGACGGGUGAGGAAUACAUCGGAAUCUACUUUUUCGUGGGGGAUAACGUAGGGAAACUUACGCUAAUACCGCAUACGACCUACGGGUGAAAGCAGGGGAUCUUCGGGCCUUGCGCGAUUGAAUGAGCCGAUGUCGGAUUAGCUAGUUGGCGGGGUAAAGGCCCACCAAGGCGACGAUCCGUAGCUGGUCUGAGAGGAUGAUCAGCCACACUGGAACUGAGACACGGUCCAGACUCCUACGGGAGGCAGCAGUGGGGAACAUUGGACAAUGGGCGCAAGCCUGAUCCAGCCAUACCGCGUGGGUGAAGAAGGCCUUCGGGUUGUAAAGCCCUUUUGUUGGGAAAGAAAAGCAGCAGGUUAAUACCCCGCUGUUCUGACGGUACCCAAAGAAUAAGCACCGGCUAACUUCGUG